UUCGCAAUGCCCGAAAGGGUGACGAAGCGACGCCGCGUGUGGGAAGAAGGCCUUCGGGUUGUAAACCACUGUCGGGAGUUAAGAAAUGCAAGGGUGCUAAUAGUAUCCUUGCUUGACUAAGGCUCCGGAGGAAGCCACGGCUAACUCUGUGCCAGCAGCCGCGGUAAUACAGAGGCGGCAAGCGUUGUUCGGAAUUAUUGGGCGUAAAGAGCACGUAGGCGGCUAUGUAAGUCGGUUGUGAAAGCCUUCCGCUCAACGGAAGAACAGCAUCCGAUACUGCAUGGCUUGAAUCCGGGAGAGGGAUGUGGAAUUCCAGGUGUAGCGGUGAAAUGCGUAGAUAUCUGGAGGAACGCCGGCGGCGAAAGCGGCUCUCUGGCCCAUAACUGACGCUGAGUGUGCGAAAGCUAGGGGAGCAAACGGGAUUAGAUACCCCGGUAGUCCUAGCCGUAAACGAUGGGCACUAAGUAGAGGGGUUUU
rnacentral:rRNA from 1 species